GGCCUGCUGCGGGCAGAUCCAGUGAAUGUGGGUAUCCACUCCGCCUGCGGUGACGAUCUUGCCUUCGGCGGCAAUCACCUCGGUGGCCGCGCCAAUGGAGAUGGUCACGCCGGGCUGAAUAUCCGGGUUACCGGCUUUACCGACGGCAACGAUCCUGCCGUCCUUCACGCCGAUAUCGGCUUUGACGAUCCCCCAGUGAUCGACGAUCAGGGCGUUGGUCAGAACCAGAUCCACGCAGUCCCGGGCGGUCAUCUGCCCCUGGCCCAUGCCGUCGCG
rnacentral:sRNA from 1 species